CCUGGGGAGUACGGUCGCAAGAUUAAAACUCAAAGGAAUUGACGGGGACCCGCACAAGCGGUGGAUGAUGUGGAUUAAUUCGAUGCAACGCGAAAAACCUUACCUACCCUUGACAUGUCUGGAAAGCCGAAGAGAUUUGGCCCUGCUCGCAAGAGAACCGGAACACAGGUGCUGCAUGGCUGUCGUCAGCUCGUGUCGUGAGAUGUUGGGUUAAGUCCCGCAACGAGCGCAACCCUUGUCAUUAGUUGCUACGCAAGAGCACUCUAAUGAGACUGCCGGUGACAAACCGGAGGAAGGUGGGGAUGACGUCAAGUCCUCAUGGCCCUUAUGGGUAGGGCUUCACACGUCAUACAAUGGUCGGGACAGAGGGUCGCCAACCCGCGAGGGGGAGCCAAUCUCAGAAACCCGAUCGUAGUCCGGAUCGCAGUCUGCAACUCGACUGCGUGAAGUCGGAAUCGCUAGUAAUCGCGGAUCAGAAUGUCGCGGUGAAUACGUUCCCGGGUCUUGUACACACCGCCCGUCACACCAUGGGAGUGGGUUUCUACAGAAGUUCGUAGCCUCACUA
rnacentral:rRNA from 1 species